rfam:Archaeoglobus fulgidus DSM 4304, complete genome.
GCCGGGGUUGCCGAGCGGUAAGGCGCACGCCUGGAGAGCGUGUGGGCGUUCGCCCGCGUGGGUUCGAAUCCCACCCCCGGCG